rnacentral:rRNA from 1 species
AGAGUUUGAUCCUGGCUCAGGACGAACGCUGGCGGCGUGCCUAAUACAUGCAAGUCGAGCGAGCUUGCCUAGAUGAUUUUGGUGCUUGCACUAAAUGAAACUAGAUACAAGCGAGCGGCGGACGGGUGAGUAACACGUGGGUAACCUGCCCAAGAGACUGGGAUAACACCUGGAAACAGAUGCUAAUACCGGAUAACAACACUAGACGCAUGUCUAGAGUUUGAAAGAUGGUUCUGCUAUCACUCUUGGAUGGACCUGCGGUGCAUUAGCUAGUUGGUAAGGUAACGGCUUACCAAGGCAAUGAUGCAUAGCCGAGUUGAGAGACUGAUCGGCCACAUUGGGACUGAGACACGGCCCAAACUCCUACGGGAGGCAGCAGUAGGGAAUCUUCCACAAUGGACGAAAGUCUGAUGGAGCAACGCCGCGUGAGUGAAGAAGGGUUUCGGCUCGUAAAGCUCUGUUGGUAGUGAAGAAAGAUAGAGGUAGUAACUGGCCUUUAUUUGACGGUAAUUACUUAGAAAGUCACGGCUAACUACGUGCCAGCAGCCGCGGUAAUACGUAGGUGGCAAGCGUUGUCCGGAUUUAUUGGGCGUAAAGCGAGUGCAGGCGGUUCAAUAAGUCUGAUGUGAAAGCCUUCGGCUCAACCGGAGAAUUGCAUCAGAAACUGUUGAACUUGAGUGCAGAAGAGGAGAGUGGAACUCCAUGUGUAGCGGUGGAAUGCGUAGAUAUAUGGAAGAACACCAGUGGCGAAGGCGGCUCUCUGGUCUGCAACUGACGCUGAGGCUCGAAAGCAUGGGUAGCGAACAGGAUUAGAUACCCUGGUAGUCCAUGCCGUAAACGAUGAGUGCUAAGUGUUGGGAGGUUUCCGCCUCUCAGUGCUGCAGCUCAACGCAUUAAGCACUCCGCCUGGGGA